rnacentral:rRNA from 1 species
UACGUAGGGGGCGAGCGUUGUCCGGAUUUACUGGGCGUAAAGGGCGCGUAGGCGGCAAUUCAAGUCAUCUGUGAAAUCUCCGGGCUUAACCCGGAACGGUCAGGUGAUACUGUUUUGCUAGAGUGCGGAAGGGGCAAUCGGAAUUCUCGGUGUAGCGGUGAAAUGCGUAGAUAUCGAGAGGAACACCAGAGGUGAAGACGGGUUGCUGGGCCGACACUGACGCUGACAGCGCGAAAGCCAGGGGAGCAAACGGG